rnacentral:snRNA from 1 species
CCAAGUUCUUGGGAGUUCG